rnacentral:rRNA from 1 species
AUACGGAGGGUGCGAGCGUUAAGCGGAAUUACUGGGCGUAAAGCGUACGUAGGCGGUUUGCUAAGUCAGAUGUGAAAGCCCCGGGCUUAACCUGGGAACUGCAUUUGAUACUGGCAGACUAGAGUAUGAUAGAGGGGGGUAGAAUUCCUGGUGUAGCGGUGAAAUGCGUAGAUAUCAGGAGGAAUACCAGUGGCGAAGGCGGCCCCCUGGAUCAAUACUGACGCUGAGGUACGAAAGCGUGGGGAGCGAACAGGAUUAGAUACCCCAGUAGUCC